rnacentral:rRNA from 1 species
CCUACGGGUUGCAGCAGUAGGGAAUCUUCGGCAAUGGACGAAAGUCUGACCGAGCAACGCCGCGUGAGUGAAGAAGGUUUUCGGAUCGUAAAACUCUGUUGGUAGAGAAGAACGUUGGUGAGAGUGGAAAGCUCAUCAAGUGACGGUAACUACCCAGAAAGGGACGGCUAACUACGUGCCAGCAGCCGCGGUAAUACGUAGGUCCCGAGCGUUGUCCGGAUUUAUUGGGCGUAAAGCGAGCGCAGGUGGUUUAUUAAGUCUGGUGUAAAAGGCAGUGGCUCAACCAUUGUAUGCAUUGGAAACUGGUAGACUUGAGUGCAGGAGAGGAGAGUGGAAUUCCAUGUGUAGCGGUGAAAUGCGUAGAUAUAUGGAGGAACACCGGUGGCGAAAGCGGCUCUCUGGCCUGUAACUGACACUGAGGCUCGAAAGCGUGGGGAGAAAACAGGAUUAGAUACCCCGUAUC